UUCCUUCCCCAAUCUUUUCCCUUCCCUCUAAUUCACUCAAGGAUUACCACCCAUAGGGAAUCUUUUGCUGAAGGCCUCUCUCAUCUGUCUCUGAACCCAGUAAGCUCCCUUUGCUUGUCUUCAUCCCAUGAGCUUCUGGAGAGAAGGGAACGUGGCUUUUUUGUAAACUCUCCCCAAGUGCGUAGAAGUUGCUGCAUAAACAUAUAUUAAUAACACUUUAGUGGGAGGCUUCCAUAGGGAGGAAGUUCCACUGGGGUAAAAACAUGGGACUUGAGGGAGAUUUUGUUAGUUUCAAUGACAUUGGUUAUCCCACUUUUUAUCCUUAGAAUUGCCCAGCCACAGGUGAGUCUGGUUUGCCUCUGAUCUGGUUUGUAGGUCACACUUGAAGUUCUGGGAUCUCUUUAAUGGGAGGGCUCAGGGUUGCCUUCAGGGAAGAAAGGAGCCUCCAGACAGUUGUAGGGCUUGGGAACCUGGAGUCAAGCAUUCUCUCAUCCCACGUUGGUCCCAAGAAAAACUCCUGAAGUCAGCCCUGCCAGCAAGGGAUGGCCGAGAGCUGCUCAGUGUGGAGUUUCUGGAGUAAUCAGGAUUACACAGGCAGCUGGGAGAUCAAAUUGGGGUGAUUAUCUGGGGAACCUGUUCUCACAGUGGAUGACAGGAGUGCAAAAGGACAGUCAAACUGUACAAGCGCAUGAGGGCCUCUGCUCACAUCAAUCACUAACAUCCGAUUGUUCAAAGGAAGU
rnacentral:lncRNA from 1 species